rnacentral:rRNA from 1 species
AAAGGAAUUGACGGGGGCCCGCACAAGCGGUGGAGCAUGUGGUUUAAUUCGACGCAACGCGAAGAACCUUACCAAGGCUUGACAUCCCGCUGAAAGGUUUAGAAAUAAGCCUGGCCUUUCGGGGACAGCGGAGACAGGUGGUGCAUGGUUGUCGUCAGCUCGUGUCGUGAGAUGUUGGGUUAAGUCCCGCAACGAGCGCAACCCUUAUGCCCAGUAGCUACCGGGUAAAGCCGGGCACACUGGGGAGACUGCCGUGGAGAACACGGAGGAAGGCGGGGACGACGUCAAAUCAUCAUGCCCCUUAUGCCUUGGGCUACACACGUGCUACAAUGGCCCAAACAAAGUGAAGCGAGGCAGCGAUGCGGAGCCAAACACGAAAAGGGGCCUUAGUUCGGAUUGCAGGCUGCAACCCGCCUGCAUGAAGCUGGAAUCGCUAGUAAUCGCGGAUCAGCAUGCCGCGGUGAAUACGUUCCCGGGCCUUGUACACACCGCCCGU